GAUGAACGCUAGCGACAGGCUUAACACAUGCAAGUCGAGGGGCAUCAUGAUUUGUAGCAAUACAGAUUGAUGGCGACCGGCGCACGGGUGAGUAACGCGUAUGCAACCUACCUAUCAGAGAGGGAUAAUCCGGCGAAAGUCGGUCUAAUACCUCAUAAAACAGGGACCUCGCCUGAGGUUAUUUGUUAAAGGAUUAAUUGCUGAUGGAUGGGCAUGCGUUCCAUUAGUUAGUUGGUGAGGUAACGGCUCACCAAGACGACGAUGGAUAGGGGUUCUGAGAGGAAGGUCCCCCACACUGGUACUGAGACACGGACCAGACUCCUACGGGAGGCAGCAGUGAGGAAUAUUGGUCAAUGGGCGAGAGCCUGAACCAGCCAAGUCGCGUGAAGGAAGACGGAUCUAUGGUUUGUAAACUUCUUUUAUAGGGGAAUAAAGUUCGGCACGUGUGUCGAUUUGCAUGUACCCUAUUGAAUAAGCAUCGGCUAACUCCGUG
rnacentral:rRNA from 1 species